rnacentral:lncRNA from 1 species
GCAAACCCUUCUGCCCCUUUUUGCUACCCCUGAAGCUUACUGUUAGUGGUCGAGUUUUUCUGGAAGUGGGCUUCCGCGAUCGCGGGGACCAACGCCCUGAGCUCUUGUGCCCAAAGGGGAUCGCCAGGUUUUUUGAUGCGGAUCGAAAGGGACUGGCCCCGGAGCCUACAACCUGACGCAGGUGGGACUUGGGGAAAUGUCGAGAAACCUAGGUCUGGGACUUGAGUUGGCUUCCAGGGCACACAUUCUUGUUCAGAAGAAACACAUUGCAAAAAUCGGGAGGUGACGGGCAGAUGAAGUGUCGGCGCUUCGCCUCGGGACUCCAGUGCAACCUAUGGGGCUUUUGGAAAUGAGGAAGUCGAUGACUCUGCAGGGACUCCUCUGACCCAGGAGCAGAUGGCGCUCGUCUGGGCACUCCCCAGGAGAAAAGGUGCAUCGGGAAGCAGCCUGGCUUGUGGAUGGUGGACAAGGUGGAGGAGAGAGAAUUCCUUGGCAGUAGCAUUAUGAACAAAUGCAGGGCUGAGAAACAGCAUGGUGGCCUUGACUAAGUUUAUGGCGACAGCAGAUGGAGUCUUGCUCUGUCGCCCAGGCUAGAGUGCAGUGGCGCGAUCUCAGCUCACUGAAACCUCUGCCUCCCGGGUUCAAGUGAUUCUCCUGCCUCCGCCACGCGAUGCCUCUUCAUGGGUGGUGGAUGAAGAAACUGAACAGGGCCAUGAUCCUUAUCUGUAAUUUCCCGGCUACCACACUGCUUUGGUGGUCUUCCCUCGUCUCUUCCUGGGUAGAAACAACUACCUGGAGAUCCCAAUGUUCUUGUCAGUGCACUUUUCAUGGACUGCAGUGCCUACUUCAUACUGGGUGGAAUUUUUAUGAUUAGCGCCCUUCUCUCAUUCUGCUUGAACUUUUUGUUGCUGACCUUCCCUCAGUUAUUCCCUGAGACCCAGAAACAGUAUAUUUUCUGUGCAUCCAUCUGCAUUGUCACAGGAGCCCUCUACCUUCGCAAUUCCCGGUGCUGUGGAGCUGUCAGAGUUUUAACAUCUCAACCAAGCCACAUGGAUACUAUUUCCUCAGAAAAGACAAAAUUGAUCCAAGCAGAAGAGUGAACUCACCGAAGAGGACUCUCUACCCAUAACUGGGGAUGCCUCAGCCACUCACACUUACUCCAAGAUUAGUGUCACUGAUUAUGGAAAGAAUUGACUUCUUCCCCUGGUCUUGCUCAUUUUUCUAGAGCCCAGGACAAUAAAUGUGUUUUACGGCA